rnacentral:rRNA from 1 species
UACGUAGGGGGCUAGCGUUGUCCGGACUUAUUGGGCGUAAAGAGUGUGUAGGCGGCCAGGCAGGUCUGCUGUGAAAACUCGAGGCUCAACCUCGAGACGUCGGCGGAAACCAUCUGGCUAGAGUCCGGAAGAGGAGAGUGGAAUUCCUGGUGUAGCGGUGAAAUGCGCAGAUAUCAGGAAGAACACCCGUGGCGAAGGCGGCUCUCUGGGACGGUACUGACGCUGAGACGCGAAAGCGUGGGGAGCGAGCAGG